AGGCUUUGGCAGCCCAUAUGCUAAACUUGGAACGAUACAGAGAUCAGCGUGGUCCCCGUGCAAGGAAGGCAUGCAAAUUCAUGAAGCGGUCUAUAUUCUU
ensembl:snRNA Gm23302 predicted gene, 23302